UGGCUGUGCUGUGAAGAGGAAGGGAUAGGAGGUUGUGUGAGGGAUAGAAAGGGUAAGAUGACAUGCAAGGACAGACAAGGUUAGGCAGCCAUGCCAGGGACAGGAGGAAGCAAGCUGGAAAUGCAGAAGAAAGGUGGAAGAAGGAGAGAAAGAGCAAGAGCUGUGUGGAAUUACUCAUGGGACUGCAACAUAGAAAAGAUCCACAGGUCCUGCCAGAAGCCUGCUCCAGCACAUGUUUUCCAUGAGGUCACUGACCUCUCUGGGCAUCCAUCUCCUCCGGCCUGGGGCUGUCCAUGGGCUGCAAGUGGAUCUCUGCCCCAAUGUCAGCUUCCAUGGGCUGCAGGGGCACACCUGCCUCACAAUGGGCUACACCCGGGGCUGCAGGGGAAUCUCUGUUGCAACAUCUGGAGCAACUCCUUCCCCCACCUUCUCCACUCUCCUCGAGCAGACAGACACAUGAUAAACUUCAAAGCAAAUAUUUCUGAUAAGCCUCUUGUACAGUAUAACUCCACAGUAUAGACCUCAAAUACCUUUCACAUGACUUUAUAAUAUUCGAAGUCAUCAAUAUUUUAAAAAGAAUAUUUUUGUUUUUACUUAGUUUACACUACAGAUGAAUGGAAAGAAGCACAUACCCUUUUUAGUAAAAUGCUUAAAGGUUUUGUUUUGAGAAUUUUUUGUUAUUAAUCUGUAUUGCUACCAAGAAUGUCUGGUACAUGAUCAAAAUUGCUGACAUGCUGCUUCAGAUUUUUGAAGAGAAAAAAAAAAGAUGAUGUUACUAGAAUUUUAGUGGGGACAUGAGUUCUUUAAGUAUUUUAUAAAAAGAUGUACUCAAGCAGGUGAAUUUGAUGGGACUUAGGCUGAGUUCAUUGUCAGGUCCAAAGGAAAAUUAUUCAUGAAAGUAGAGCUUUCAAGGUAAUUUGGAAGCUUUCAAAGCCAUGUUUGUCACUGUGCACAAAUUUAAAACCUCCAAAGUUUUAAGACCAGAUUUAUUCAGCUGAGAAAUUAAGAGACUUCUAAUGGGAAGAAAGAUUAUGUAUUUCAUGGCCUUUUCAAAGUUACUGUAGCUAUUUGGAGUCACUUAGAAUUUUGUACAUUAGAAUAAUCUUCUUGGAGAAACAUUAGUAAAUGGCAUGCCAGAGAUAUAUUCAAGGGCUGCAAUCCAGAUCAAGUGAUUCUAAUGAUUAU